rnacentral:rRNA from 1 species
AUUGAACGCUGGCGGUAGGCCUAACACAUGCAAGUCGAGCGGAGCGGCGGACGGGUGAGUCAUGCAAAGGAAUCUGCCUGGUACUGGGGGAUAACGUCCGGAACCGGGCGCUAAUACUGCAUUCUAUCAGAUGAGCAUAGGCCGGAUUAGCUAGGUUGUGGGGUAAAGGCCUACCAGGGCGACGAUCCGGAACUGGGCUGAGAGGAUGAUCAGUCACACUGGAACGGAGACACGGUCCAGACUCCGACGGGAGGCAGCAGUGGGGAAUAUUGGACAAUGGGCGAAAGCCUGAUCCAGCCAUGCCGCGUGUGUGAAGAAGACCUUCGGAUUGUAAAGCACUUUAAGUUGGGAGGCGGUACCAACAGAAUAAGCACCGGCUAACUUCGUGCCAGCCGCCGCGGUAAUUC